rnacentral:rRNA from 1 species
AACGAACGCUGGCGGCAUGCCUAACACAUGCAAGUCGAACGAGACCUCCGGGUCUUGUGGCGCACGGCUGCGUAACGCGUGGGAACCUGCCCUUAGGUUCGGAAUACCUCCCCGAAAGGGGUGCUAAUACCGGUUAAUGUCUUCGGACCAAAGAUUUGUCGCCGUUGGAUGGGCCCGCGUGGGAUUCGCUAGUUGGUAGGGUAAAAGCCUACCAAGGCGAGGAUCCAUAGCUGGUCUGAGAGGGUGACAAGCCACACUGGGCCUGAGACACUGCCCAGACUCCGACGGGAGGGGGGAGUGGGGAAUAUUGGACAAUGGGCGGAAGCCUGAUCCAGCAAUGGCGCGUGAGUGAUGAAGGGCUGAGGGUUGUAAAGCUCUUUUACCCGGGAUGAUAAUGACGGUACCGGGAGAAUAAGCACCGGCUAACUACGUG